GACGAACGCUGGCGGCGUGCUUAACACAUGCAAGUCGAACGGAAAGGCCCUGCUUUUGUGGGGUGCUCGAGUGGCGAACGGGUGAGUAACACGUGAGUAACCUGCCCUUGACUUUGGGAUAACUUCAGGAAACUGGGGCUAAUACCGGAUAGUAGCUCCUGCUGCAUGGUGGGGGUUGGAAAGUUUCGGCGGUUGGGGAUGGACUCGCGGCUUAUCAGCUUGUUGGUGGGGUAGUGGCUUACCAAGGCUUUGACGGGUAGCCGGCCUGAGAGGGUGACCGGCCACAUUGGGACUGAGAUACGGCCCAGACUCCUACGGGAGGCAGCAGGGGGGAAUAUUGCACAGUGGGCGGAAGCCUGAUGCAGCAACGCCGCGUGCGGGAUGACGGCCUUCGGGUUGUAAACCGCUUUCGCCUGUGACGAAGCGUGAGUGACGGUAAUGGGUAAAGAAGCACCGGCUAACUACGUG
rnacentral:rRNA from 1 species